rnacentral:rRNA from 1 species
UGGCGGACGGGUGAGUAACGCGUGGGUAACCUGCCUCAUACAGGGGGAUAACAGUUAGAAAUGACUGCUAAUACCGCAUAAGACCAUAGCACCGCAUGGUGCAGGGGUAAAAACUCCGGUGGUAUGAGAUGGACCCGCGUCUGAUUAGGUAGUUGGUGGGGUAACGGCCUACCAAGCCGACGAUCAGUAGCCGACCUGAGAGGGUGACCGGCCACAUUGGGACUGAGACACGGCCCAA